AAAACGUAUAGUAAAGGUUUGACUGUUGGUCGGGUUCUCUUUUCUUAAUAGAAAAAUAGCAUUCACUCAAUAAUUAAAAAAUAAUAUUCACCUCCAGAUAUUAUUGUAUUUGAUGCAGACCAAACUACAGGAAUUCUUUUUAAAUAUCAUCAGAAUUUUUAAACUUUAUCUUUGAAAAGAUAAACUUGCAGAAAUAGUGGGGUAAACAAAAUAAAUAACGUAUAUUGCGGUUCUUUUAUCUGUACAAAACAAAUAUGGACGGUAUUAAAACUAUUCAAAUUGCAAUGACGUUUAAAAAGACUAUACGUCUAAUCGAUACCUAUUGUUAUUUGUCGAAUUUCCUCCAAAAAUACAGACUAUUGCAUAGACUAUUAUAUUGUGUUUGUUAAAUAAUAUAUUUCUUUUUUCCGCUACUUUUGGACAUUUUAAGUGGUUU